rnacentral:rRNA from 1 species
UCCAAAUUUUGACCUUUAAGUACUUUUUCGGGCAUUUUCGUGAUUUGUGCUAUAUUACGGACCCAAAAUUACUUUUUCAAGCAUUGUUUUCGAAUAUUUUUCAUGCAUCAAAGCUCGUUAAGACUAGAUGGGGUAUCCCUACAUGGCGGGUGGGACCCACGGCGAACGGUUCAUCAAGACUUAAAAAAAGAAUAUAUACGAUUGCAUUGCAUAUACUAACGGAUGCGAUCAUACCAGCACUAAUGCACCGGAUCCCAUCAGAACUCCGCAGUUAAGCGUGCUUGGGCAAGAGUAGUACUAGGAUGGGUGACCUCCCGGGAAGUCCUGGUGGUGCAUCCCUCUUUUUUUUUUUUUUUUUUUUGGUUAAAACUUUAUGACUCUAUAACUUCUAUACCGUGAGGCCAAACUUGGCAUGUGAUACCUUUUCGGAAAGCCCAAAGAGAGCCCUCCGACGAAAGAAGCAAGACAAUGGAACUUUUCCAUUGACUUUUUGUCGAC